rnacentral:rRNA from 1 species
CGGGUGAGUAAUGCGUCGGAACGCGCCAAGUAAUGGGGGAUAACGCUUCGAAAGGAGUGCUAAUACCGCAUACGCCCUGAGGGGGAAAGCGGGGGACCAGCAAUGGCCUCGCGUUAUUUGAGCGGCCGACGUCGGAUUAGCUAGUUGGUGAGGUAAGAGCUCACCAAGGCGACGAUCCGUAGCGGGUCUGAGAGGAUGAUCCGCCACACUGGGACUGAGACACGGCCCAG